GCACGGUUGCAGGGAGUGCGAAUUGUUUUUUUUUUCAACUGCAAUGUUUGCACAAAUGUUCUAUAUCAAGACUUUAAAGGAAAACAGUUUUUUAAAAACCAUUUCAGUGGGCUUUUUUACGAAAAGCAACAGUUCUGAACAUAGUAUAUAUUUUCAACGUUGUUGUGCAAGGCAAAAAAACACGAAAGAUCUAGCAAAUUACUCAAACUCAAUAGGUAUGUUCUACCAAUAUAAUAUAAAUGUAGUUCAAUAAUCUUUUUAAACUUACACAAUUACUUUUCUUUUUUUCUACGUUGCUUGGCUUGAGGCAACACAUUUGAAACCAUAGUUUUCGACGAUUAUUUAAGCGAUGUACAGUUUAUCGACAAUGAAAUAUUAUUGUUGCAAGAACAUGAAAACACUUCGUUUACAUUCGAGAAAAACUAAACCCGACGAAAAAAGAACUAUCAUUUUGUAAUUUUAUAAGAUACUAGCAAAACAGGGACAGUGGUGAUGUUCAGAGCAUGCAAAAAUGUUUCAUGAGUAAAUUAUAGAUUUGCGCGAAACUACUUUGUUUUUACAAUGCUGCACGAUUUUCACCGUUUUUGUAACUACACAUUUGUUUUGUGUCUUCAAAGAACUUAAUAUUUCAAAAUCUAUCCUCGAACUACAAAUUAGACAACAAGACAAAACAUUUAGACGAUGGAAAGUUAACGUAGUUUUUAGCUUUGUUUAUACUUUGUAGUUUCCAUUCCUAGUCAAAUUUAACAUGGCAAAUCCACGCGCAUGAGAAAAAGUGGAGACAUGAUUCGAGAUCAAGUACGCAUUCCAUAUCUAUUAUUUGUAUGGGUUCAUCAUAUCUAAAUCAUCAUUGAUUUAUUUAGGUAAGAUGUUGAAGUAUUUUACUAUUUUAAUUAAACGGCCCACAAUUAAAUAGUAAACAGAAAACACCUGUACCUGUUUGUCUUUUACGUACGGAAUUACGAGUAAACAUGCUGACAUCAGCAAGAACUGAUAAACAAAAUGGCAUUAUUCCUACCCGUAAAACGGAAAUGAGGUAUAUUAACUUCUCUACUAUAUAUACGACAUGCAUGGUCUGAAAACUCGCCAAAGGUUUUGUUCAAUCUUUUUGGGCAUUGUCAGUUUAGACAAUAAACUUUUGGCAUAACAAAGCAACCAUCCUAUACUCAAAUAGCAUCGCCUCGCUGAAUCAGUCAACCUACUGCAGAAAUAUUAAUAAUCAAAAUUUCAAAAGAUUCGUGUUCGUGUAUGGCCAUUUAAACAUAAAAAAGUAGCUCAUUACGAACGCAUUCAAGUUUGUCGAGUUUCCAGACCAUGCAUACAUGUCUCGAUUCACCGAUGCAUAAUUCUUCUUUCACCAAUUUUUGUACGCACCAAUUUUUCAGUGAUCAAUCUUUGCAGUGAUUGGCUCCACGAAACCAUUUCAAAGAAUUUCCAUUUUCGGCCGAGAUUUUCACUUUUCUUCGAGAAUUCAAACGCCUCCCGCAUACAGUUCAUUCUUUCUUUAGGUUGGUUUUCCGAACAUCGGAAACUGUAAAUCGACUUGACCAAGUUGAGCUGGAUUUCGCGAUAAUGUGUGGGUUUGCACUUUGAUUGCUCAAUGGCCAUUAUACUAGAGUUGGCCUGACUCAGUCGGCUGUCGUCAACAUGUUCAUCGACCAACUCUCCAGAAAGGUGACAGCCAAGGUGAAACGUUGCAAGAUUGACAUGACCCUUGUGCUCCAGGUCUGCGCCUACCUCAGGAUAAUCCAACAUAACUUGUUGGAGGUGUUGCAGAGCGUUGUGUGACAGCACAUCCGGAGGACACAAAUAUAUAUCAAAAAGGUCCAUUAUCGUCCCUGCAAAUAAAUAUACUAGCGCUGUAACUAAACCUGGUGAAAGCCAAUCUGCCUUCGCCAAAGCACCGACCAGUAAAACGCGGAUACGGUUAAGAUUUCCGUUAGGCCGAGUAACCUCAACACGUUCACAUAGCCCUAGCACUUCAAACAUACGAUGUUCUGUAGCAUUUGAUAGAAGUUUGUCGUACUCGUCGAGCAAUUUAUCUGCAGUCUUAAAAUGUUGUUUUCGGGAAUGCGCUAUAAUUUUGUUCAACAACACAACUAAAUCAAGCUCGACAAUAUCUGGAAACCUUUGUUUAAUUUUCUUCGACAUAUCCCGAAAUCCUUUCAAAUCCCCGCCAUUGUUUAAACAAUUCGCUAGAAUACAAAAUGCUUCAGUACAAAGUUUUUGAGUCUUUUUUGAAAUCCAUGUAAUGCUUCUGCCAAUUGCACUGGGGACCAACUCAACCUCGACAGAUCCCAAAAUGAUUUUCUUCCAAGAAGUGAACGACAUCUUGUUAACUUCCCCCUCCACCAUUUCAUAACAUUCUGGUUCCUCGGUGAACACACCACCAAGACAAGGAGCGAUAUAAAUCACGAUCACAUAGGUUGACGGAAUAGGCUUGGAGUUUUCAUCUACUACUGGCUCGAAG